rnacentral:lncRNA from 1 species
CCACCCUCCAGUAAGUGUCAUGCACAGUGGCUUCUGGACUGAGUCAGAAACAACAGCCCAAAGGAUUAUUGCUGCCCACACAGGAAGUUUUCCAGGCAGGGCAGUGUCAGUGCUUCCAUGUGAGUGCAAUCAGCAGCAAUCCAGCAAGCCAAAACCCAGGAAACUCAAACAGUGGAAGAUGAGGACGGAUGGGCUGCCUGAAACAUAAUUGCUGUGAGGCAAGAAAAACAGCAGGGCUGGGAGGACAGAGGAUGCAAGGUGAUGCUGAAGUCAUGUUCUGCUGCUGGCCAUAAGAAUGAUUCACUGAACAGUGUGUCCUCUGUCAGAGGGAGGGAACAACAAGCAGGAACAUUUGGCAUUCCAGUCCAUGAAAAGACCCAAGCCAACCGUCCUGCUCUGCUCACUCAGCUGCUGAAGGAACCAACUACAGACAGCUCUAGGAAGAAAGGAAAAGGAAUGAAACUUGACUAAAAUGAACUUUUAUUUCCACUGCUGUGAAAAAGGGGGAAGGGGAUUCUGACUCCUGUAGUUUUGCCUGCAAUUGUUAUUGCAGACACGACUAUGUUACAGAACAGUGGUAUGUCACCCUCAGAUGUGGAAUUAGCACAAAAUGCUGUGAGCACCUGAGAGGUGUCCUGAAACCCAAGCUCAAGAGGGACCUCGGUACUGAGAAGUCAGAUUCUACAUGCAGUGGGUGCCUCCUGCCUGAGUGUAUUCUGUCAGCCCUUUCAUUUGCUGCCUGGAUGAAAACAGAAGCAACUUGGAGCUCUCAGAGAAGGAAGGAGGAGGAAGCAUGCAAGGAAACUUGCAUAUUUGCAGGUUUCACUGAGGGCAGUGAGAGCUGUAGAGUCCAAAACUUCUGGGAAUAAAAACAGUAAUUACAAUGGAACUCCAAAACAACAAAGGCUUGAUUAAUCUCCUCUUAAAAAAGCAGACUUUUAGUGCUUUAGUCUCCAUGACCAAAAAGAAGAAACAUCCAGAUAUUUAUGACAGGUUUGGUGGAAAACUGGACUUUGCAGAAAUCCCACCAAAGAGAGAGGGUGUGAAUGGUAAUUGUGAAGAGGCUGGGGUACCAAGAGCAGUUUACUUACAGUACCUUAAAACAACCUGGGGCAAAGGCUGUACCUUUCCAAGUGUUCAGAAAGUAAUAAACCUUGGAGUUACUAAUGCUCUGAGCAGUGCUGCUGAGCAAUCACUUAACCCUUAA